rnacentral:rRNA from 2 species
CCUUGACCUCAAAUCGGGUGAGACUACCCGCUGAACUUAAGCAU